AAGUGACUGGCUGAGCAUCGACAAAAUAAUUUCCUUUUGGCCCCCAUAUAAUGGUACAAAAUGUAGAAAAGCUGUUGAAAAAAAUGAAACUCCUGAUGAAGAAUGGAACGAAUAUAUAACUGAAUGGGUGGCUGAGUAUGAUUCCUAUGAAAAAGCCAGAAGAAAGCUGGUGAAGUUUUGUAAAGGCAACAGUUUGGAGUCUACAGAUGAGGACAGUGUACGGAAAAGAGUACCAUCAUCAAAAUAUGUAAAUGGGUUUACAUCUAAUACAGCCUCAGGAAGACCUCCAGUGCAGGCCUCAACAAGCUGGCUCCACACAGAGACAAUGGAAAGACCAAAAAAAAAAAAAACUUCUGCAGUAAUGGAGCCAAAAGACUGAAAUUGCCAGCCAUACCACCAUUUGCACCAUCAGCACCUGCUGUGACAGUCCCUGAAACAAGACAAGAUGAUGCAGCCAAAAAACAAGGAGCAAAAGUGGUGGAAGCAGAGGAAAAAAUAAAAACCUGGCUGAAGUAUAGUGGAGACCGAAAUGGAGGAAGAAAAAAAAAAGAGCAACAGAAAAAGAAAAGCAGAAGCCUCAAGCAGAUUCCAGCAGCUGUGAAAGUGAAUAGACUGAUGAACACAAUCUUGUUCUCAUCCACUGAUUAAACCCUAUUCACUGGAAAGCAUAAUUCAGUAAUCUGCUCUUGAAGAGCUGCACACGGUCGUCUGCUGUGACACAGCUGUGGUCUGUUUGUCCCGCACAUGCUCUCCUGUGCUGACUUCUGUGUUUUGGGGUUCCAGUGUAUCAUCGUCAUGAUCCUCUACAAUUUGUGGAUCCGCAAUGUACUCAUUCAGAAGACGGAGGUUGUGGAGCACUGCACAGCAUGCAACAACAUCUGCACAAAGGCAGAACUCACUUCCAGGGCCUUGAAGAAGAAGAAGAUGGAGCACAGCUUGUCUUCAUCAUCCUGAAGGCUCUCUCAACAAUGUUCUGUGCACGAGCAUCAUUGGUGUUGAAUCAAAGCUGUGCAGGAUUCUGUUCAGGCUCUCUGUCUGCUGUGAUGAGGCAGAUGUGUGCACUCAAACAAGGACACCCACCAUCUCCCAGGAUGUGUUUUCCUGCAGGUGGAUACAGGCCUCCAGAGUUCUUCAGCACCCUGGCAUCAUACACAGACCCGGGAUACUCAACAAAGAUAUCAAGGUACUUCCCAUGGUGGUGACCUGCAGCUGAACAGAAUGAAACCGCUUCCUGUUGAAAUAACAUUAGGCAUCACUUGCUGGAGGUUCAGUUUGUAUGUGACAGCCAUCUAUUGUGUCAGCUACCAGAAGAAAAGCUGCUUCCACUGCCUCCAGGUCAUCUGUGGUGAAGAAGGCAAUCAGCCUCCUCAAAAUCCCCAUGACAGACCUGACCUGCUCAUUCUGUGCACAAUGUUAUGCAGCUCUUGGAUGUCAAAGGCCAUUAUUGAUAGCAGCCUGUAUGACGCUGUUCACAGUCUGUUAAUAUGUAGUUUUUGUUUUUUAGAAUAAAAUUUCAAUAGGUUACACAUUUUUUGCUGAUAUAUCUAUAUCUAACUAUAUGUAUUUACAUAUGUGUGUAUAUUGUCUAUAAUGUAUAUAUUAUGUAUGUAUUUAUGUAUAUAUUUUGAUGUGUGUAUGUGUGUUUCUGUGUAUAUUUCUAUAAUGUAUUUGUGUGUAUUUAUGUGUGUGUGUG